UACAGAGGGGGCAAGCGUUGUUCGGAAUUACUGGGCGUAAAGGGCGCGUAGGCGGCCUGCUAAGUCGAACGUGAAAUCCCUGGGCUCAACCCAGGAACUGCGUCCGAUACUGGUUGGCUUGAAUCCGGGAGAGGGACGUGGAAUUCCAGGUGUAGCGGUGAAAUGCGUAGAUAUCAUUUGGAACGCCAAUGGUGAAAACAGGUAGCUGGGAGUGUGCUGACGCUGAGACACGAAAGCCAGGGGAGCAAACGGG
rnacentral:rRNA from 1 species